GCAUUGAGCUUAUUGGCAUCAACAAUCGGAAUCUUGAAACAUUUGAGGUCGAUAUCAGCAACACAAAAAGGCUUCUUGAAGGAGAGCGUGGACAAAACAUCCGCAAGAAGAACGUAACAAUAGUGGGAGAAUCUGGGCUGUUCACUCCUGAUGAUAUUGCUUAUGUGCAAGAAGCUGGUGUUAAAGCUGUUCUGGUUGGCGAGUCGAUUGUGAA
rnacentral:misc_RNA from 1 species